CAUUACCCAGGCUGGUCUCAAACACCUGGGCUCAAGCGACCCUCCUGCUUCAGCCUCCCAAAGUGUUGGAAUUCCAGGCGUGGGCCUCUGUGACUAGCUAGAAUAUUUUGUACUUAAUGCUUUUUUAUAUAUUAUUAAUAUAAUCACUUGGUGAAUGUUAAUUGAGGGCCAAGAGUAGAAAUUCACCCAAAGAGUUGAAUAAGUUGUAUGCAAUGUACUAAUAGUUGCUGUGGCUAGAGAGAGCAUGGUGUAAAUAGGACCACUCAGAGAACAGAGACCUGAACCAUUUCAGUUCUUGAAGAUCCCAGUAUAAUUAAACAAUACAAAGUUUAUAAAAAGACCGUAUAUUUUUAAAUAUUCAGUUUUUCAGUGUAUCUCAUUGUACAUGAAUAACUAUAUUUGUAGAUAGUGCCAAACAUGCACAUUUGAGAUCCUUUUUGAACACCUGUGUUCUCACACACAGUUCACACACCAUUUUACAGGUGAGACAGCUCAUGUUCAGCAACCUAUUAGCAAGACUGAGGACCUGAGCCUGAGUUAAUUUCUUGAUCUCCAGCUAGUUCCCCUUUCUUCUCUUAUGAAGGCCCCAGGCAUUGGCUUGUUUGCUUACCUUGUAACUGCUGAAAACUAGCUGUUCUUUCCAAUCCUUUUUCUCUCUUUUCUGUACCAGGGCCAGAGAGGAAAAUGGUCUCAGCUUUUCAGUUAUCUUCUCAAGCCUAAAUAAGCAAAUAUAUCUGGUAGCUUUUUUUUUGAAGAGAUAUUUUCCCUUAGCUUAGAAAACACAUUUUCAGUGGAAUAGAGAGGUGAGAAAGUAAGUAAAAAUGUGAAAACAUCAACAGAAAGAGAAGACAAGCCAGAGACUGGGAGAAAAUAUUUGUAAAAGACACAUCUGAUGAAGAACUGUUACUCAAAAUAUACAAACAACUUUUAAAACCUAACAAUAAGAAAACAACCUGAUUUUUAAAGUAGGUCAAAGAUCUUAACAGACACCUCACCAAAGAAGAUAUACAGAUGGUAAAUAAGCAUGUGAAAAGACCCUCAACAUCUUGUAUUAUUAGAGAGUUGCUAAUUAGAACAGUAAGUUAUCACUAUCUACCUGUGAGAAUGGUUGAAAUGUAAAACACUGAGAACACCGAAUGCUGAUGAAGAUGUGGAGCAGUCAGAACUCUCAUCCUUUCUUGGUGGCAUAAAUAGGCAGAGCACAGAGGAUUCUUAGGACAGUGAAAUUAUUCUGUGUGAUGUAUAAUGGUAGAUAUAUGUCAUUAUACAUUUGUCAAGGCCCAUAGAACAGGUUUUGAAGUUGACGUGAUGUUGACAGUUGGGGAGGCUGUGCCUGUGUAUAGGAAGCAGCAUAUGGGGAUUUUCUGUACUUUCCACUUGAUUUUGCUGUGAGCCAGAAGCUGCCCUGAAAAAUAAAGUCUAUAUUUAAAAAACUAAUCAUAGAUACUGGACACGACAUUUUUAUUAGCAUUUUAAAAUAUACUGUAUGCAAAGAUAAUCUUAUGUGAUCAAGAAUAACUCCUUAAUGUGUAAAGCACCAUGAAUCUCUUAAGAAACAAAAGUUUUAUAAAAUUUUUAAAAAAGAAAGUAAGAAAAAUGGCUAAACAGUAAAACACACCCAGUUAUUCAACACCAGGUGACGACUGGACCGAGUCUUGAUUUUUCUUAGCUUGCCUGACUCUGUGACUGCUGCUGUCUGCUUUCUUGGGCUCCUUCUUCCUCAAUCUUCCUGUUUCCAGAACAGAUGCUUUUAUGUCCCUGUGCCCGUGGUGACAUCCCAGGAUCCCUUCUAUCUGCAGUUCUUUUCUUGCCUGUUAAGCUGUAGGAGGAGGAAAGGAGAAAAUACUGAUUAUUUACCUGUUUUGUAAUAGACAUUAUAAUGGAUGCCUGUUGUAAUCUCUUUUAAUCCAUACAAUAACCCACAUGGAGGAGUUAUUGUCUGCAUUAUAUAUAUUAAUAACUAAUGCCAAAGAUGAUAUAAUUUGUUGAAGGCCACUGAAUUGUAAGUGAUGCAGUUUGCAUAUAAACCUUGGUUUCAAAAUUCAAGACACAGUAAUCUCGUUCACUCUGUAAGAAGCAAGCAUGUAAGUGUUAAUGGUGGGUGUUUGGUCACACAAAAAAGUAAAGAUUUACCAACACAUUUACUUAAGAAAAGUCAAACUGCUUUUGGUUUUUAAGUAUCCUCUUCAAAAUGAAAGGCAAUUUUGGAUAACUCCUUACCUGACUUUCAGAAGCUUGCUGGAUUUCUUGUCUUUUAAAAAUGUUCAACCUAGAUUUAUUUUUAUUAAUCUUGUUCUUCAUGGUAUCUUUCUUUCCUUUAUCCUUUUUCGAGAUCCAUUAAGGAUUUUACUGGGAUUUAUAAGCUUUCUUCUGGAAUGGUGGUUCUUCAACUGAGAUGAUUUUAUUCCACAGGAAUCAUGUGGCCAUAUCUGGAGACAUUUUUCAUUGUUACACUGGGAGAGAGUGCUACUGGUAUCUAGAGGGUAGAGUAUAGGGAUGCUGCUAAACAUCCUAUCCUGCAGAAGACAGCCCCCUCAACACAAAAUUAUUUGGCACAAAAUGUCAGUAGCUCAAGUUGAGAAAUGCUGAACUAGAGGAGUGGGCUUAAUAUCAGGAUAGCGUAGCAUUGGAUUCCCAUUAGAAUCCAUAGUGUCUUCAUAGCACUGGAUUCCCAUUAGAAUCCAUAGUGUCUUCACAACACUGGAUUCCCAUUAGCACAUUUCAUGCAGCCUGGUACAUCAGUUACCUGGCCUCCUUUUUGUAGCAUUCAUUUCAGAAUAUAGUUUAGUGUGACUACAGAAGGAAGAAAAUACAUUUGUAACAAAAUAGGUGAACUGACAGAAUUUUGGUAAAAGGGAUAAAACAGAGUAGGGUCAUAGGUCUACACAUUUUAAAAGGUGGUUUGCAAUCAGUGUUGAAUUUUUUGGUUUAAUUGUGCAACUUCAACUGUUUUGUUUAUUCUCCAUGAGUGUUUCAUGUUAUGCCUUUGUGCCUGCUUCAGUGCUAGGGGACAGACCUGCCCUCCUGGUUCAUGUUACUUGUGUCUUCCAUUCUUCUUUGCUGGAAUGUGCAGUUGUGAUAACUGUGACAAUUCCUAAGGUUUCCGAUUGCUUUUGAAAACACAAUGGUACUGUAAAUUUCUGUCAGCCAAGAGAUGAGCACCACAUUUUGAUGGUUUCCCAAACCACGUGUGUGACCUUUUACUCGUUUUCCUUUGUAAUGUCAGUCAUGGCAUGGCUGAAUGGAAUUCAGGGACAACUAUGAGGCCUGUCAGGAGCAAUUAAAUUAUUUUUAUGAAGGUACUUUGCAGUUGCAAACGAUAUUGAAGGCACCAUGUGGCAUUUCUAGCU